rnacentral:rRNA from 1 species
GAUGAACGCUGGCGGCGUGCUUAACACAUGCAAGUCGAACGGUGAAGCCAAGCUUGCUUGGUGGAUCAGUGGCGAACGGGUGAGUAACACGUGAGCAACCUGCCCUGGACUCUGGGAUAAGCGCUGGAAACGGCGUCUAAUACUGGAUAUGAGCCUCUUCCGCAUGGUGGGGGUUGGAAAGAUUUUUUGGUCUGGGAUGGGCUCGCGGCCUAUCAGCUUGUUGGUGAGGUAAUGGCUCACCAAGGCGUCGACGGGUAGCCGGCCUGAGAGGGUGACCGGCCACACUGGGACUGAGACACGGCCCAGACUCCUACGGGAGGCAGCAGUGGGGAAUAUUACACAAUGGGCGAAAGCCUGAUGCAGCAACGCCGCGUGAGGGAUGACGGCCUUCGGGUUGUAAACCUCUUUUAGCAGGGAAGAAGCGAAAGUGACGGUACCUGCAGAAAAAGCGCCGGCUAACUACGUG